GAGCCUGUGGCGUAGUCUGGUAGCGCAUCGCCCUUACAAGGCGGGGGUCGGGAGUUCAAAUCUCCCCGGGCUCA
rnacentral:tRNA from 1 species